rnacentral:rRNA from 1 species
CCUACGGGAGGCAGCAGUGGGGAAUAUUGCUCAAUGGGCGCGAGCCUGACCCAGUGAAGUAGCGUAAAGGAUGACUGUCCUCCGGUUUGUAAACUUCUUUGAUAAAGGAAUGAAGUGACGCUCGUGUGCCUUUUUGUAUGUACUUUAUGAGUGAGAAGCGGCGAACUACGGGGCAGCAGCCGCGGUAAUACGGAGGGUCCGAGCGUUAUCCGGAUUUAUUGGGUUUAAAGGGCGCGUAGAUGGGAUGUUAAGGCAGUUGUGAAAGCCUGCGGCUCAACCGUAAAAUUGCAAUUGAUACUGGCAGCCUUGAGUACAGGAGAGGUAGGCGGAAUUCGUGGUGUAGCGGUGAAAUGCUUAGAUAUCACGAAGAACUCCGAUUGCGAAGGCAGCUUACUAGACUGCCACUGACAUUGAGGCACGAAAGUGUGGGUAUCAAACAGGAUUAGAUACCCCAGUAGUC